rnacentral:rRNA from 1 species
UGGGGAAUAUUGGACAAUGGGCGCAAGCCUGAUCCAGCCAUGCCGCGUGAGUGAUGAAGGCCCUAGGGUUGUAAAGCUCUUUCACCGGUGAAGAUAAUGACGGUAACCGGAGAAGAAGCCCCGGCUAACUUCGUGCCAGCAGCCGCGGUAAUACGAAGGGGGCUAGCGUUGUUCGGAUUUACUGGGCGUAAAGCGCACGUAGGCGGACUUUUAAGUCAGGGGUGAAAUCCCGGGGCUCAACCCCGGAACUGCCUUUGAUACUGGAAGUCUUGAGUAUGGUAGAGGUGAGUGGAAUUCCGAGUGUAGAGGUGAAAUUCGUAGAUAUUCGGAGGAACACCAGUGGCGAAGGCGGCUCACUGGACCAUUACUGACGCUGAGGUGCGAAAGCGUGGGGAGCAAACAGGAUUAGAUACCCAAGUAGUCCCUGAGCGGGCUGGCAAGGCGCAU